CAAACUGAGGGUGCUCGGGUCCCAGUUCCCUGCUUGGCAUCAUGCUCGUGCAGACGUUGUGCAACAGCAAUAUCAACUCCCUUAGAUUGCAUCCACUGGCUAAGAGGGUCAGCUGAUGCACCCCGCCAAUGCAUGUCAUCCAAACUUGGACAAAACUGAUAUGGCGAAGGUGGAAGUAUAACUUUUGCCUUAGCAGUAUGCCA